GUCAAGGACCCCAACACCCUGAGGACAGAUCCUGGACCCCCCAUUUUAAGGCCACAAAAUGCCUCAGCCACCCUGACCCAGAGGGCGAGACUGCCACUGGGGAGAUGCACUGGAUCCAGCCAGUCUGGUCUCCCCUAGGCUGGGGGUCCUCAUGGGCCACCUACCAACACACAGAUGCUGACACUCACUGGCACACAAAGACACACGCGCCACAGGUGACGCUGACACAGAGGCGCUGACUCACAAGGUCCCCAGGGACACGCACCAACAUUCAUUCCUGGCAGCCCCUCACACGCAUGCACACGCACGCACAUGCACAGAGGCUAGCACACCCCUCGGUGCACACAUCACACACUGCUCACGUCAGCACACACGAACACCCACAUCCCCUACAGAUCUGCUGGGACCCGCAGACAUGCGAGGACCAAGGACCUCAGCGGCCCCCUGGGGCGCUCUGUGGGCCCAGGUCAAGCCACCCUCCAGUCAGGGUGCCCAUGGUCCACCUCGACCUCCCUCUGCGGCUCCCCGUUUCUUGCCCCCGCUGCACUCUCUGUCCGUGUGACCCAGAUGUCCCCUCUCUCCAGACAGACCUGAACUCGGGGGCCAUGAGUGGGAGGCUCAGCUCAGCUGACAUACAGCAAGUCCCCUUUCUGUAUUCAGCUCUACAGAUGUGGAGGUGAGUGAGGGAGACCAGCUCCCCAUCACGGAGCAAUCAGAGCCGGGGACAGAUGUCUUCAAAAGUCAUCCGAGGGCUGCAGCCACGGGGCGGCAUGGAACCCCGAGGAGGAAGUACUCCGAAUGUUCGGCACCCACCCCGGCCAGGGCACAGAGGAGGCACCUGGCAGGUGACGGGUCGGUGAUUCCCGCUCUGGGGUUCUCCUGAGGAGCUCUGAAACAUUCCUGAUGCCAGGCUGCACUUCAGUCCAAUUAAACUGGCACCUCUGGAGGGGACCCUGAGCGCUGGCGAUUCCUAAAAGACCCUCUGAUGACGCUAUUCUGCAGCCAGGCCGGGAACCACUGAUUUCUAUAAUCCAUCCCGCUGGGCAAAGCUGAGAGAUUUCCUAACAGGCCCACUUGUGCUGGGUAUGAGGUGGGGAUGGGUCAGGGGAGGGCUGGCAGGCUCAGAGGAGGAGCUCACAGUCUAGUUGGGGCAGCAGACCCUGCACAGAUGGGACCAUUAAACAACACCCAGAGAUGCGAUCAAGCACGCUCUGGGAACCUGGAGACACUCAUCUAAGACAGGCCUUGGCGGGGCCAGGCAGGCAGCCGUGCUGGCCGGGUAUCAGGAGGCCCCGCUCCAGCCCUGGCCUGGCCACCCACCCGCUGUUGGUGAUGAUGAUAACUCAGGCCUGGCAGAGAGGAGAUGGGCACGUUUGCUUUGGUUUCCUGCCUGCCUCCUGGCACUGCACUGCUGCCUCUCGUCUGCAGCUGUUCCCACCAAAUGCUCCGAGAGGAGCCCCGUGCCUCUUCCACCAAAGUGGCCUUCAUUUCCACAGGGUCGUCUGUAAGCUUCAUCUCCCGUCGGGGAUAAAAGGCAGAACUUCAGGCGGCGGCAGGGCGCUCGAGACUACACAAUAGGGAUAAAGUGGCAUACUUGGCCAACGCUCCAGGAACAUUCGUUCAUAAAGACAGACGUGCUGACAUCCACAGGCACUCACAGAGCGGGGUGAGACCUAGCCUCACAUACCGAUAACUGCACACAUAGGUGUAUGUUUGCACACACUCCUGCCAGAGAUGUACCCACCACAGUGAUACACAGACAACAGAUGGGUCCACACGUGCUCACACGUGCACACACACGCACACAUGCGUAACAAUCCACCCUGGAAAGGGCUGGGCCUCCUCUGUCCCAUGGACAGCUGGGAUGGGGGCUCAGGGGUGACGGUGAGGGGGAGAUCUAGGUCCCCUCAUGCCCAUCUCAGCCCCCCCAACUCAAGACCAAGGGCACGGAGCCUCCUUUCAGUUUGGGGGCAUGAGCCUCAGCUCCCAGGGAAUAUGGUGACCAGCAACUGUCCCCUCAGGCCAUCGACAAACCCCGCUCCUUCACUGACCCUGGGUGGAGAAGGAAGAGACAGCCAGAUCCUGCUUUGCGGUGGAGGAGGACAGGGCAGCCCCCAACACACCCGGCCCAGAGCACCCCUUCAUGGCAGGGAUAUAAGAAGCAGAGAAGAUUCACUCUACCCCUAAACCAGCACCCGACACGCGGGCAUGAAAUCAUAAAGGCAGAACUUCUCUGCUCCUCUCAAAGUCAAACCUCAGCCCAGAAAAUGGCUUGGCCACCACCCCUCCCCUGGCUUCUGGGGAUGCAGCGGUGGCUGGCGGG
ensembl:lncRNA